UACCAGCACCCCGAGUGGUCGGGACGUUUAUUGGGCCUAAAGCAUCCGUAGCCGGUUCUACAAGUCUUCCGUUAAAUCCAACUGCUUAACAGGUGGGCUGCGGAAGAUACUAUAGAGCUAGGAGGCGGGAGAGGCAAGCGGUACUCGAUGGGUAGGGGUAAAAUGCGUAGAUAUAUGAAAGAACAUCAAUAUAGCGAAGGCAGUUAACUAUUCUGCUACUGACAUUGAGGCAUGAAAGCGUGGGGAGCAAAACGG
rnacentral:rRNA from 1 species